UAGGGAAUCUUCGGCAAUGGGGGCAACCCUGACCGAGCAACGCCGCGUGAGUGAAGAAGGUUUUCGGAUCGUAAAGCUCUGUUGUAAGUCAAGAACGAGUGUGAGAGUGGAAAGUUCACACUGUGACGGUAGCUUACCAGAAAGGGACGGCUAACUACGUGCCAGCAGCCGCGGUAAUACGUAGGUCCCGAGCGUUGUCCGGAUUUAUUGGGCGUAAAGCGAGCGCAGGCGGUUUGAUAGGUCUGAAGUUAAAGGCUGUGGCUCAACCAUAGUUCGCUUUGGAAACUGUCAAACUUGAGUGCAGAAGGGGAGAGUGGAAUUCCAUGUGUAGCGGUGAAAUGCGUAGAUAUAUGGAGGAACACCGGUGGCGAAAGCGGCUCUCUGGUCUGUAACUGACGCUGAGGCUCGAAAGCGUGGGGAGCAAACAGGAUUAGAUACCCUGGUAGUCCACGCCGUAAACGAUGAGUGCUAGGUGUUGGGUCCUUUCCGGGACUCAGUGCCGCAGCUAACGCAUUAAGCACUCCGCCUGGGGAGUACGACCGCAAGGUUG
rnacentral:rRNA from 1 species